AUUGAACGCUAGCGGGAUGCUUUACACAUGCAAGUCGAACGGAGUGGCGGACGUGUGAGUAAUAUAUCGGAACGUGCCCAGUAGCGGGGGAUAACUACUCGAAAGAGUGGCUAAUACCGCAAAAUAAUGGAUGGGCCGAUAUCGGAUUAGCUAGUUGGGGGGGUAAAGGCUCACCAAGGCCACGAUCCGUAGCGGGGUUGAGAGGACGACCAGCCACACUGGGACUGAGACACGGCCCAGACUCCUACGGGAGGCAGCAGUGGGGAAUUUUGGACAAUGGGGGAAACCCUGAUGCAGCCAUCCCGAGUGUAUGAUGAAGGCCUUCGGGUUGUAAAGUACUUUUGGCAGAGAAGCGGUAUCUGCAGAAUAAGCACCGGCUAACUACGUGCCAGCAGCCGCGGUAAUAC
rnacentral:rRNA from 1 species